AUUCCAUGUUGUGGGCAACUCACACAGAGAUGCUUGAAUCUCUCCCAAUACUCGUGGAGAGUUUCGACAUCUCUCUGUUUGAUGCCACAAAUUUCCCUACGAAGACU